rnacentral:rRNA from 1 species
UACGUAGGGGGCUAGCGUUGUCCGGAUUUAUUGGGCGUAAAGAGCGUGUAGGCGGCCAGGUAGGUCUGGUGUGAAAACUCGAGGCUUAACCUCGAGAUGUCAUCGGAAACCAUCUGGCUAGAGUCCGGAAGAGGAGAGUGGAAUUCCUGGUGUAGCGGUGAAAUGCGCAGAUAUCAGGAAGAACACCAAUGGCGAAGGCAGCUCUCUGGGACGGUACUGACGCUGAGACGCGAAAGCGUGGGGAGCAAACGGG